rnacentral:rRNA from 1 species
AGAGUUUGAUCCUGGCUCAGAACGAACGUUGGCGGCGUGGAUUAGGCAUGCAAGUCGAACGAAACCCACUGCUGUAGCAAUACAGUGGUGGGGGAAGUGGCGAAAGGGGCAGUAAAGCGUGGGUAACCCACCCCGGGGACCGGGACAUUCCUGUAACAAGGGUAAAUACCGGGCGAUAUGACCGAGACGCAUGUGUUGGU